UUCUUGGAGAGUUUGAUCCUGGCUCAGGACGAACGCUGGCGGCGUGCCUAAUACAUGCAAGUCGAGCGAAUCAAUAGGAGCUUGCUCCUGUUGGUUAGCGGCGGACGGGUGAGUAACACGUGGGCAACCUGCCUGUAAGACUGGG
rnacentral:rRNA from 1 species